UACGUAGGGGGCAAGCGUUGUCCGGAUUUAUUGGGCGUAAAGCGCUCGCAGGCGGCCCGAUGCGUCGUGCGUGAAAGACCCCGGCUCAACUGGGGGGCGUCGUGCGAUACGGGCGGACUGGAGGCCAGUAGGGGGAUGCGGAAUUCCGGGUGUAGUGGUGGAAUGCGUAGAGACCCGGAGGAACACCAGCGGCGAAGGCGGCAUCCUGGACUGGUCCUGACACUCAGGAGCGAAAGCGUGGGGAGCGAUCCGG
rnacentral:rRNA from 1 species